rnacentral:rRNA from 1 species
AACGAAACACCUUAUUUGAUUUUCUUCGGAACUGAAGAUUUGGUGAUUGAGUGGCGGACGGGUGAGUAACGCGUGGGUAACCUGCCCUGUACAGGGGGAUAACAGUCAGAAAUGACUGCUAAUACCGCAUAAGACCACAGCACCGCAUGGUGCAGGGGUAAAAACUCCGGUGGUACAGGAUGGACCCGCGUCUGAUUAGCUGGUUGGUGAGGUAACGGCUCACCAAGGCGACGAUCAGUAGCCGGCUUGAGAGAGUGAACGGCCACAUUGGGACUGAGACACGGCCCAAACUCCUACGGGAGGCAGCAGUGGGGAAUAUUGCACAAUGGGGGAAACCCUGAUGCAGCGACGCCGCGUGAGUGAAGAAGUAUCUCGGUAUGUAAAGCUCUAUCAGCAGGGAAGAAAAUGACGGUACCUGACUAAGAAGCCCCGGCUAACUACGUGCCAGCAGCCGCGGUAAUACGUAGGGGGCAAGCGUUAUCCGGAAUUACUGGGUGUAAAGGGUGCGUAGGUGGUAUGGCAAGUCAGAAGUGAAAACCCAGGGCUUAACUCUGGGACUGCUUUUGAAACUGUCAGACUGGAGUGCAGGAGAGGUAAGCGGAAUUCCUAGUGUAGCGGUGAAAUGCGUAGAUAUUAGGAGGAACAUCAGUGGCGAAGGCGGCUUACUGGACUGAAAC